UGCUAUGGUAUAACUUAGUGGCAGACGGGUGAGUAAUGUAUAGGAAUCUACCUAGUAGUACGGAAUAAUUGUUGGAAACGGCAACUAAUACCGUAUACGCCCUACGGGGGAAAAAUUUAUUGCUAUUAGAUGAGCCUAUAUUAGAUUAGCUAGUUGGUGGGGUAAUAGCCUACCAAGGCAAUGAUCUAUAGCUGAUCUGAGAGGAUGAUCAGCCACACUGGAACUGAGAUACGGUCCAGACUCCUACGGGAGGCAGCAGUGGGGAAUAUUGGACAAUGGGCGAAAGCCUGAUCCAGCCAUGCCGCAUGAGUGAAGAAGGCCUUCGGGUUGUAAAGCUCUUUUAGUGAGGAAGAUAAUGACGGUACUCACAGAAGAAGUCCUGGCUAACUCCGUGCCAGCAGCCGCGGUAAUACGGAGAGGGCUAGCGUUAUUCGGAAUCAUUGGGCGUAAAGGGCGCGUAGGCGGAUUAGUAAGUUAAAAGUGAAAUCCCAAGGCUCAACCUUGGAAUUGCUUUUAAAACUGCUAGUCUAGAGAUUGAAAGAGGAUAGAGGAAUUCCUAGUGUAGAGGUGAAAUUCGUAAAUAUUAGGAGGGACACCAGUGGCGAAGGCGUCUAUCUGGUUCAAAUCUGACGCUGAGGCGCGAAGGCGUGGGGAGCAAACAGGAUUAGAUACCCUGGUAGUCCACGCUGUAAACGAUGAAUGUUAAAUAUGGGAAGUUUACUUUCUGUAUUACAGCUAACGCGUUAAACAUUCCGCCUGGGGACUACGGUCGCAAGAUUAAAACUCAAAGGAAUUGACGGGGACCCGCACAAGCGGUGGAGCAUGUGGUUUAAUUCGAUGCAACGCGAAAAACCUUACCACUCCUUGACAUGAAAAU
rnacentral:rRNA from 1 species